UUUACUGUUUUGCCUAAGUCAGGAAGUGUUUAUGUUCUUGUGUGUGUGCGUGCGUGCGUGUGUGAACAUGCGCACAGAACCGUUGAUAUCCUUUGAACCACAACACAUACAGUAACAUCUGAAUAUAUGACAGUUACUGUAUAGUAGCUACAUAACGUGAAUCCUGUUAGCCACGGGACUAUGACAAUAUUCUCCCUGUUGAUUCUAUUUCAGCUCCAUUUGCAGAGCGGGGGCUGAGGCAAUGCCACUUGAACGUUAAGUGCAACAGAGCAGAGUUGUCGUGCCAACCGGCGCCUGUGCACAGUGACCUCAACACCUGAUAUGUUCUGAGGGUGCUCCAUUCCGGCUCCUCGGAUCAGCUAACUCACCAUGGGAAACUACAUGUGUGGAACACUGAGGAAGAAGAAAAAUGAAGAUGAAGAUAACGGGGAUAAUCAUAGCAGCCCAGACAACAAGGAAGAGGAUGUGACAUAUGCCACCAUCGACCAUAACAACACCAAGACAACAGGAUUCAUCGUAGAUUCCGGAGAUAACGAUUGUGACUACGCCAUCGUUAACCUUCCAACUGGCCCAGCCCACCAGCCGUCAAUCAUUGAAGACUGCGCAGACGACUAUGUCCUUAUGGGCUAACCUCAUGGACAAUAUGUGUGUGUGUGAGAUGACAGAGGUAAUGUGAGUAGGGGGAUAACGGAGAUGCAAGGUGGACAAGGGCUGAGGCAAGCUAGAGAGCACCUUACUGAAUCAAAGGAACAGAUAUGAUGCCUGUGACAGUGCCUACAAACUGAACUUGAUGCAGUGUGGGGUGCACCAAUUACAGGGGCUUGCCAAAGUAUUCACCCCCCCCUUGGCAUUUUUCCUAUUUUGUUCCCUUACAACCUGGAAAUAAAAUGGAUUUUUAGGGGUUUGUAUCAUUUGAUUUACACAACAUGCCUACCACUUUGAAGAUGCAAAAUAUUUUUUAUUGUUAAACAAACAAGAAAUAAGACAAAUAACUGAAAACAUGAGUGUGCAUAACUAUCCACCCCCAAAGUCUAUGUUUUGUAGAGACACAUUUUGCAGCAAUUACAUCUGCAAGUCUCUUGGGGUAUGUCUCGGCAAAUCUAGCCACUGGGAUUUUUGCCCAUUCUUCAAGGCAAAACUCUUCCAGCUCCUACAAGUUGGAUGGAUUCCGUUGGUAUACAGCAAUCUUUAAGUCAUACCACAGAUUCUCAAUUGGAUUGAAGUUUGAGCUUUGACAAGGCCAUUCCAAGACAGUUAAAUGUUUCCCCUUAAACCACUUGAGUGUUGCUUUAGCAGUAUGCUUAGGGUCAUUGUCCUGCUGGAAAGUGAACCUCCGUCCCAGUCUCAAAUCUUUGGAAGACUGAAACAGGUUUCCCUCAAGAAUGUCCCUGUGUUUUAUUUUUUUAUUUUUUUAUUUAUUCUUUUAAGGGGUGGAUCAGCUUAAUAUUGCGGAAAGAAUGUUGCUUCCAUCAAUGUAAUUGUCUGCAUAAUUUCCAAUCCUCCAUAUUUUUGGGGUAAAUAUAUAUAUCCAUACACGCAUGCAUACAUAUACACAUAUAUACAUACACAUACCUAUAUAGACAUACAUACUUUUUUAAAGAAUAUACCUUUAUUUUUAUAUUUAUGUUUUAUAUUCCCCGCAAACCCUACCACCGAUCCCCCAAUUGGAGUAAACGAAUAAACACUUCUGCUUUUACCUUCAAUUUAUACAUCUUAUACACAUUUUACAGACACAGUCUACUUUACAAUAGUUCUCUCCUGUUUGUUCUUAGUCCUUCCUCUAUUUCUAAUUUCCAUCCAGUUUGAUUUCUAUUUGUAACUGUGCUAUUUCGCAAAAGUUCCGAACCUAUAUACAUUUUACAGAUCCGUAUGUUUUACAUUGUUUAUCUUGUUAUUAGUCCCAACCUUCAGCCCCAUUCAACCCCUCCCAUCUAUCUCCCAACACCAUCCAUUUCAGAUUUCUAUUUGCCAUAUAUUUUUCAACUGUGCUGUGAUGCUUCACAAAAUAAUUGAACCUUCCUAUUCUCAUAGCUCCUACAGAUUGUAAAUUAAAAAUAAAUUUUUUUGCUAAAAUAAUUACUAUAUUAUUGAUUGAUUGACUAUGGCUUUUCAAAUCACCCAGUAUUGCUAUCUGUAGCGUUAGUUCUAGGCAAAUGUUGCAAUUCUUCAGUCAUUCCUGGACCUGUGACCAAAAACGAGCUACAUAUGGACAAUACCAAAAUAAACUAUCUAAUGACUCUGCCUCCUCACAGCAGAAUCUGCAGAGCUGGGAAGAUUGUAUCACCCAUAUAUAUAACAUUCUAUUAGUUGCAAGAAUCUUGUAUAGUAAUUUAAAUUUAAAAAUGUGAAGUUUUGAAUCCGGCGUUGUUUUGCGUAUCAAUUCAUUAACCAUGUGCCAUUGAAUGGGUACAUCGAAAAUCUCUUCCCAACUAUUUUGCAAUUUAUAUGGCACAGCUGUCAGUUUUUUGGUCCUUAAAUGAAAUUGGUAUAUGUUUUUGUUUAUCACACUUUUCUUUAACAAUUUAUGUUCUUUAAUACAGGGCCGACAUACAAGUUCCUUACUUUUUUCCCCUUCUACUUGCCUCUUCCAUUUUUGUGGUAAUGCUGCAAUUAAUUGGUUGUAAUUUUGGUUAGAGCAGACAUUUCCAUAUGUCUGUGUUAGCUGCAUGUGUGACAUAACUCCACCAGUCCUAUUUAUGAUAUAAUUUACAAAAAUUAUACCUUUUUUAAACUUUUCUUCGAUAAAUACAGUUUUUUUAAUCAAUUAGUAUAUUUGAAUUUAACCAUAAUAUUUGUUGUACUAUUUGUUCCGUCCUUUCAGGUGGAUUAAACUGAAAUUGCAACCAACUUUCUAAGGCUUGUUUAAAAAUAAAGAUAUUUUGGAGAUUAUUUCCUUUUCAAACAACCGAAAGUGAGCAGGUGUAAUUUGAAUAAAAGGAAAAAGGCCCUUCUUGAACAUAGGAUGAGACAUUCGUACCAAUUUUCUAGAGAACCAGUUUGGAUUUAGGUAUAACUGUUGUAUAACUUUUGUAUGACUGAUGCCUUUAGUGAGAGGUCUAAUGCUUUAAUAUUUAAUGGUAGCAAGAUCUUAUCUAUUUUUGCUAACUUUCAAAAAAAAUUAUUGGAGUGAGAUCAUUUCUUUCUUUUGGGAUUUGUAUACCGAGUAUGUCCACACCUCCGUCAGACAAUUUAAUUGGUAAACUACAUGGUAAUGUAAAAUGUGCAUUUUUUUGUGAUCCAAUACGUAAUAUGGUACAUUUAUCAUAAUUUGGUUUUAAUCCAGAGAGGAUAGCAAAAGUAUCUAGAUCCUCUAAGAGGCCGUAGAGAGACUCUAAUUGUGGUUUUAAAAGAAAACAUGAAUCAUCAGCGUACAAUGACACCUUCGUUUUUAAGCCACGGAUUUCUAAUCCCUUAAUAUUAUUGUUUGAUCUAAUCUUAACAGCUAACAUUUCGAUGGCAAUAAUAAAUAGAUAUGCCGAUAGUGGACAACCUUGUUUUACUCCUCUAAAUAGUUUAAAACUUUCUGAGAUGUAGCCAUUAUUUACUAUUUUACACCUAGGGUUACUAUACAUAACUUUAACCCAUUUUAUAAGAGAUUCCCCAAAAUUGAAAUAUUCUAGGCAUUUAUAUAUAAACUCCAGUCGUACUUCAGUCGACUGCCGUUGAAAAUUAACUGGCUGGCUAAAACCGGCACUUUUACUGAAAAAUAAAAAUAAACUCAACUUUAUCAAAAGCCUUUUCAAAAUCAGCUAUGAAAACCAGGCCUGGUGUCCCCGAUAUUUCAUAGUAUUCUAUUGUUUCCAGUACUUGUCUUAUGUUAUCUCCAAUGUAUCCAAGGCAGCAUUUCUACAUUGAAGAUUGAAAAAGAAUUUGGUGCAUUUUUCCCCAUAUUCCAUCCAGUUCGCUUUAUUUUUUAUAAUAUAUUACACUGGAUCUUUCUUGAAUAAGUUCCUCCAUUUCUUUUUGUUUUUCCUCUAACUUAUUCUGUGCCUCUAUGGUACGGUUUUUAUCGCUAUCUAACUUUACUGUUAGUCCUUCAAUUUCCUUUGUUAAUAUGGACUCUUUUGAUCUAAAUUGCUGUUGUUUUAUAGAUGAGUACUGAAUUGCAUGGCCUCUAAAGGCACACUUAAUAGUGUCCCAUACAAUAAGGGGUUCUGCUGUACCUAUGUUAUGUCUGAAAAAGUCAGUUAUAAUUUCUUAUGUCCUAGUUCUAAACAAUUUAUCAUCUAGUAAGCUUUGAUUAAAUUUCCAAUAUCCUCGCCCACGUGGAAAUUCUGUAAGAGUAAUAUAUAUGCCAAUUAUGUGAUGAUCCGACCGCAUUCUGUCCCCUAUCAACACUUUUUAAACUUUUGGUGCCAGAGAGAUGUCCCUGUAUUUAGCUCCAUCCAUCAUUCCUUCAAUUCUGACCAGUUUCCCAGUCCCUGCCGACAAAAACAUCCCUACAGCAUGAUGCUGCCACCACCAUGUUUCACUGUGGGGACAUGGUCUCAGGGUGAUGAGGUUCUCAGGGUGAUGAGGUAUUGGGUUUGUGCCAGGCGUAGCGUUUUACUUGAAGGCCAAAAAGCUAAUUUUAUUCUCAUCUGUCCAGAGUCCCUUCCUCCAUAUGUUUGGAGGUGUCUCCCACAUGCCUUCUAGUGACACUUAGAUUGCACAUAGGUGGACUUUAUUUAACUAAUUAUGUGACUUCGGAAGGUAAUUGGUUGCACCAGAUCUUAUUUAGGGGCUUCAUAGCAAAGGGGGUAAAUACAUUUGCACGCACCACUUUUCUGUUUUUUGGGGGAGGGGAAUUUUUUGAAACAAGUUAUUUUUUGGGGGGCCUUUCUGUUUUUCUUUUUUAAUACAUUAGCAAAAAUGUCUAAAAACCUGUUUUCGCUUUGCCAUUAUGGGAUAUUGUGUGUAGAUUGCUGAGAAUUUUUUAUAUUUAAUCGAUUUUAGAACAAGGCUGUAAUGUAACAAAAUGUGGAAAAGGUCAAGGGGUCUGAAUACUUUCCGAAGAAAGUGUUGCCAGUUAAACUGUUGUAAUUUCUUUUAAAACCUUAAGGACCCAUGAGCAGAUAUGAAACCACAACCUGUGGGGAUUCCUUCUGAGAGAAACAGAUGCUUUUGUUUAGAGCCUAUCUAUGGGUUUAUUUGGCCACUUUACAGAGGAAACACAUUCUGACAAAGACCCAGCUACCAACCACACCACCAACACCAUGGGCUCGUGCCAAAGAGAAUGUCUAGUAGAGCAAAAGAGAGAGAUGAGACGUUUAUCAUUUGUAGUUGAAUUACGUUUGAAUUGUAUAAUGAUUUUUCUGUCACAAAUCUAUUUGAGUGAGAUACAGUAAUGUGAGAGCAGGAUUGGAGUUGUUUUGUGAACUGCUUUUAGAUGUUUCUCAAAAUCACCAGCAAUUGUCCUAUCGUAUAUACGUAUCCUAUGAAUUAUUGACACAGAGAUGGAUUAAAUGUCAACAUUGUUAGAAAAGUCCACGUUUGUAUCAUGUUGUUAAACCUUUCUAGGACACAUGUUCCGCUAGCGGAACCCCCCCCAACAUUCCGCUGAAAAGGCAGCGCGCGAAAUUCAAAAAUAUUUUUGGGAAAUAUUUAACUUUCACACAUUAACAAGUCCAAUACAGCAAAUGAAAGAUAAACAUCUUGUGAAUCCAGCCAACCUGUCCGAUUUUUAAAAUGUUUUACAGCGAAAACACAACAUAUAUUUAUGUUAGCUCACCACCAAAUCCCAAAAACACAACGCCAUUUUUCCCAGCAAAGAUAGUUUUCACAAAACCCAGAAAUAGAGAUAAAAUUAAUCACUAACCUUUGAAUAUCUUCAUCAGAAGACACUCAUAUGACAUCAUGUUACACAACACAUUUAUGUUUUGUUUGAUAAUGUGCAUAUUUAUAGCCACAAAUCUUGGUUUACAUUGCCGCCAUGUUCAGAAAUGGCUCCAAAAUAUCCAGAGAAAUUUUAGAGAGCCCCGUCAUCUAACAUAAAUACUCAUCAUAAACUUUGAUGAAAGAUACAUGUUUUACAUAUAAUUAAAGAUACACUGGUUCUUAAUGCAAGCGCUGUGUCAGAUUAAAAAAUUUUUUUUGUAAAAAGCACACCAUGCAAUAAUCUGAGACGGCGCUCAAUAUAAAUAAUAUUUCUCCGCCAUGUUGGAGUCAACAGAAAUACGAAAUUACAUCAUAAAUAUUCCCUUACCUUUGAAUAUCUUCAUCAGAAUGCAAUGCCAGGAAUCCUAGUUCCACAAUAAAUCUUUUUUUUUGUUCGACGUCCAUUACUUAUUUCAUAUUAGCAACUUUAUCUAGCAUGUGUAGUACACGUGUCCAAACACCGGCGCAUUGAAGGCAAACGUCGGAUGAAAUGUUCAAAAAGUUAUAUUACUAGUUGAAUAAACUGGUCAAAAUUAGUAGAGAAUCAAUCGUUAGGAUGUUGUUAUCAUACAUAUACAAUAACGUCCCAAACGGAGCAUUUCUUCAUGUCUAUUUAACUCAUGGCAAACAUGGACAUCACAUGCCUAGUGUGCGUGGCCAGGAACUGGCAAUCUGCCAGACCAGUCACUCCAAUAGCUCCCAUCUGGCCCCACUUCCUGCUGGAGCCUUCAUUCCACGUUCUACCGACUGUUGACAUCUAGUGGAAGGCGUAUGAAGUGCAUACAGAUCCAUAAAUGACAGAGAUUUGAAUAGGCGAUGACUUUCCCAUCGACCCAUUUCAGAUCUUUCACUUCCUGUUUGGAAGUUUGCCAGCCAAAUGAGUUCUGUUAUACUCACAGACAUAAUUCAAACGGUUUUAGAAACUUCAGAGUGUUUUCUAUCCAAUAGUAAUAAUAAUAUGCAUAUAUUAUUAUCUGGGACAGAGUAGGAGGCCAUUCAAUUUGGGCACCAAUUCAUCCAAAAGUGAAAUUGCUGCCCUCUAUCCCAACAUCAAUGGCAACAGUAAACUGCAGACUAUUUUCUGUAACUUCAAGAUUAAAUCAUUGAAUAUUUUGUAGUUUCUUUGCAAAUUUCUAUAAAAAGGGAAGUUGUUGUGAGAUCUGUGAGAUCAAAAUAGAUCAGGUUAGCUUCUUCUUUAGCCACCAAUACAGAAAUCACAUAAUAGCCUACAGCCUAAGCAUGCGAACCAAAACCUGUAUCAAUUCAUGGUCCAGGAAGAAUACUCAUCAAAAGAGAUGAUAUGGACUGAUAACCAGAGGGUGAUUAGUUCAAAUCCCAGGUGAGUCACUGUGACAAUAAACCUGUAAUGUGAUUCAGUGCCACUCUGUGUCACUGGGCCUACUUAUACAGGCCUUCCUUUACGAGUCUCCUACACUACUUCCUGAUCUGUCAUAACAAUGGGUGUCUAACAUGAAGUGAGAUGGAGGAAUGUCCACCCAAGUUUUUCACAUUAUUCUAUUCCCUGGUUAUUUUUCUUUUAGAUUUGUGGUUAGGAAAGAGAUGAGGGAAAGUAGAUCUACACAUUUCUCAUGAAAUGAGAUUACCAAUAUUCUCCAGCAGAGGGUGCACAUACAGAGAGCACUAGUUUAUCAUGAUGAUGUCACAUGAAUGAGAUGGACUAAUACAAAACAAUCAGGGUGCGAAUUCCGCACAUUUUUGGGGAAGCAUGGCUUCCCUUGGCAUCCUUGAAUACACGCAAAUAGCCCUAAUGACAAUCACUGAAUGCCAUUACACUAUUAGGGCUCUAUCUUUGGCUGGCACAAGUGUCACAUUUCAGCAUGUAAAAACAGACGCAUUGGCAUUUUCCAGCCCUAACGCCAAGUUUGGCAAUUUAACUGUCUAACAUCAGCUCGCUUGCCCUGAAGUGGGAGGGGUGGCAAUAUUUGAGCUGUGUCCUUAAAAACAAUUGCAAAAGUGACAAUUUCAUAAUAAGUUUUAAGACCCACAAAAAGCAGGUCUUAAUGGUAAUGCAGUCGAUAGUGGCAUGGAUUGAGAGCAGAAGCCAGCCUCUCCAGCCAUGACGCACAGUGCCCAUGGACGAGAGAAGUGACUUUUUGGCAGGUGAAUCUCAUAUUUAGAAACAUAACAAAGCGAUUUGGUUUAAUUUAAAUGAAAACCAGGCAUAACCUACACUCUAAA